rnacentral:lncRNA from 1 species
CUUGCCUCAGAGGAUCUUAAAGAUUUUUGAUCUAUAGAAUUUCAUUAAAGCCAUAGGGGCCCCAAGAUAGUCAUUGUCCAACCACAGAUAUUGCUUUCAUUUGUAAGCCACCUAAUUCCUGCAAAAAAAAAAAAAAUGGAUUUAAACUUUAUCUAUAAUCCAUGCUCUGUUCUCCUGCAGGGUUCCCAGGGCUCCAUGAUAUGAGGCAGCCAAGAAGAUUCAUCUUUUGUUCCUCUUCGAGUAUAGGAGAAGAUGAAACAGUCUUUCAUCUUUGCCCCAUGGAGGUUUGAAGCCUAGACACAAAAGGGAACCUGAACCCACAGAAAGAAGAACAGACCUGAGUAUAAAGGCCACAAGCUGCUGGUGCCUCCUGCAGAGCCCCUUCCCCUGGGUCAGCUUCCUAAGACCCGCUGAAGCAAAGGUCUAGAGAAGCAAAGAAUAGCUGGAGAGACCAAAGAAGAUAAUAGCAAGAACAGAAGAUUGGCCUCAGACUGGGGAAAAU